UGACAAAUCAUCUGAGUAAUUCCAAAUACAUAGUAACUUUUACUCUCUGAAAAGCUCCCUGAGGAGCUAUUAUUGAAUUCAGAAGGUACAUCCAAAGAGUAUUUAAUUAUAAGUGUAUUACAGCAAGAAAAUUCUCUUGAAUGCAUUGUUUCUGAUAUUCUGACAAUGUGUUUUAGCCUUGUUCUAUAGAUUUUUAUCUAUUUUUUCUAUGCUGAUAUCAUUACUUAUUGGUUGUUAUGUUGGUAGAGAAGGUGUGAUUGUUGUGUUUGUUUCCGUAGUAGUGAUGUUUGUUGUUUUUUAUUUGAUUCAUGUACCUUACUGAAGAUGGCAGUUGGCUAAACAGAUGAUUAUGGAUGUAUGCUUAACUGGAAGCAACCAUUUUAUGGAGGCUGAGAGAGUUUCUUUUCCAUCUCUGCUCAUUCGUUAAUCUGAGGGUGAAAGAGGAUGGAUUUUUACAAAGGCACAUAUGAGUCCUGUGCUGAAAAAGCUGAUGCAGUCUAUCUGGUUUCCAGCUCUCUAGAUAGGUCUUUGAGAAUGGCACAUCUCUCAAAGAAAAAUCACUUUGCUUAGUGUAAGUCCUAGUUACGAAGGUUUCUUAUAAGCUAAGGACUCAAAUGUGUCAGUGCUUUGGCUCUCACGGUGGCAGCUCCAGAUUUAUGGAGCUACAGAGACUCACUGAUGAGGCAUUCUUGCUUCAACUAAAAGAAGCACUGCACUCACAGGCUUUCAUCUUGAUGAGGGAUUUCAACCACCUGAAUGUCUACUAGACAAGGAGGCUAGAACUAGAUGGUCUUUGAGGUCUCUUCUAAACCAAGCCAUUCUAUGAUGCUUUGCUGUUCCCUUACACAUUAGUGAAAAACACAUAUUAACCUUCAAGAGAAGUGGAAGAAUGAGCAUGUUUUUUCUGUCUAGUGUGGCCCAAGUCUGUUUCCCUUCUUUAUAAUUUAAAGCCUGGAUGACCAUUUGUUAUACUAGGUGAGGAAGGUUGCCAUCAACAAUAUCAGAACUGCAUCAGGAAGAACUGUAUGAUGGUGGCUGCGUAGGUCUGCACAGAUAAAUGAAUCCUCAGCUUUAUCGAGGGGGAAAAGAAUCAAGGAGGUGGUAAUGAGAGAAAAGGUGACUGGUGGUAAAGGCUUCCCUUUGCGUUGGAUUCAGUCCAGACUUGAACUCUCAAAGACUG
ensembl:lncRNA